AAAGUGCUAGGAUUAUAGGCGUGAGCCACCACCCUGGCCUGAGGCUGCAUGUGGAGUCUGAAGCCUGGAGUGCCUCUUGUGGCUGCUUCUCAGUGGGGUGCCAUAGAAGGGUUUUGGGAUAGGAACAGCUGGUGUGUUGGAAGGGCUCUGGGCUCAAAUGGAGGAUGACAGGACAGGGCGAGGCCCAAGUCAGGGAGGCCCAGGAGCAGGCUGUUGGAGGAGUCUCGGCCGGGCCUGCUGUGGUUCUGUAACUUCAGCUCAGCCCUGGCUCAGCCAGCCCAGGCUCCUCCAAGACCUCCCCCCUGCAGACUCUGGAGGGCUGUCUUCUCAUAAGUGCUUGGGACGCUUCCUGCCUUCCCACCCUUCCUUUCAGACCCACUUCCUGCUUGGCCUCCAAGCCUAUUCUUCCUCUUACCUUCUCCCAUUAUCUCUGACUUCAGAAUGUUUGCUUUGGCUCCCACUGUCUCCCCUCUGCUCUCUCCUGCGGUUAGUGUUGGAUACUCAGCAAAAUCUCUCCUUCCUACAAGCCAGGGCAGACCCAUCGGGGCAGGGAUUGUCUUCUUUCUACUUUAAGUAAACGGAAUUGGAGCAACCUUGGCCUUGGAAGACAGAUUUUGUCUUCUAACGACUUUCCUUCAAAACCACAAAUGCAUUUUGUCUCGAUUUGAGGUGGUUCUUGCCUCUCAUCUCAGCAACCUCAGGGUGAGCAUGAAGCAGCCUCUGGCAGCCUGACGAUUUCACAGCGGAUGCUGCGCUUUUGUGAAAAGUCGAUUUCUCUGCAAACCAGCCGAGAGGGCAAAGAGUGCGGUGUUCCUUCCAUUCAACAGAUCUCUAUGAGCCAGGCCUCGAGCUGUGUUAUGGGGAGUCACUGAAUAAGGCAUCUGCUCUCCAGGCCCGCAUGGCCUGAUGGAGGAGAUGAACAAGGAGACUGUCCGCAUGAAAGCUUGUACAAAGUACCAUGUGGUCUCAGUGGAGGUGCAACGCCGUCCACGCUGACCUUGCAUGUGCAAAGCAUCAGAGCUGUGCAACCUUGGGCAAGUUAUUGAACCUCCCCCUGCCUCAGUGUCCUCAGCUAUGAAAUAGGCAUAAUGAGAGUUUUUCUCUUCUAGGCUCGAUGUGGGGAUUACAUAAGACACACAGGAAGUGCUUAGCAUAGAAUCUGGACAAGGAAAUGCUCGCUAUUCUCUCUUUUAAAAACUUCUCCUGUGAUCGGGAUUUUCAGGUUCCCCAGUGGGGAUGUGUGG